rnacentral:rRNA from 1 species
UACAGAGGUCUCGAGCGUUAGGCGGAAUCACUGGGCUUAAAGCGUGUGUAGGCGGGUCGUUAAGUACCUUGUGAAAUCCCAUGGCUCAACCAUGGAACUGCUGGGUAUACUGGCGAUCUUGUGCAACCUAGGGGCGAGCGGAACAGAUGGUGGAGCGGUGAAAUGCGUAGAUAUCAUCUGGAACGCCAAUGGUGAAACCAGCUCGCUGGGGGUUUGCAGACGCUGAGACACGAAAGCCAGGGGAGCGAACGGG